rnacentral:rRNA from 1 species
UACGGGGGGGGCAAGCGUUGUUCGGAAUUACUGGGCGUAAAGGGUUCGUAGGUGGCUGGCUAAGUCAGACGUGAAAUCCCUCAGCUUAACUGGGGAACUGCGUCUGAGACUGGUCGGCUCGAGUGCAGGAGAGGAACGCGGAAUUCCAGGUGUAGCGGUGAAAUGCGUAGAGAUCGGGAGGAACAUCAGUGGCGAAGGCGGCCAUCUGGGACAACACUGACGCUGAAGCACGAAAGCGUGGGGAGCAAACAGG